rnacentral:rRNA from 1 species
UACGUAGGGUGCAAGCGUUAAUCGGAAUACUGGGCGUAAAGGGUGCGCAGGCGGUUGUGCAAGACAGAUGUGAAAUCCCCGGGCUCAACCUGGGAACUGCAUUUGUGACUGCACGGCUGGAGUGCGCAGAGGGGGGGAUGGAAUUCCGCGUGUAGAGGUGAAAUUCGUAGAUAUUAGGAAGAACACCGGUGGCGAAGGCGGCCCACUGGUCCGGUACUGACGCUGAGGUGCGAAAAGCGUGGGGGGAGCAAACAGG